UCUUCUACUCCCACUACCUUCGACCUGAAACCACCAUAUAGUUCUUUUCCUUUUCCGUGGUCAGAAAAUCCUUAACCUACUUCAAUGCUUCAUCUUCUACUCCAUUGUUCCAAUCCUACAAAAGAAUCAUUCCCACUUUGUUCUCAAUUUUUCAUUUUUAAACCCUAACUGGUGUUCCCCCCUAAAAACCAUCAAAAUUGAACCAAUCGUUUCGAGUUUCCUCAUCUCUUCUUCAUUUUCUUCUUGAACGAAAACUUGAUAAGAUUAUAUUACGAAUCCUAGAUACUAAAAUUUCAUAUGGGUAAAGGAUUCCGAAAACUCUAGAUUGUUCCAUUUUUAUGUUUGGCAAUUUAAUUUGAUGAUUUUCAAGUUAUUUUGAAUUUAAUCGGUAUUAGUUUAAUUUUCUCAAUAAAGAUUGGUGGGAUUUGGUAAUUGCUGGAUUUGAUUUUAAAGGCAGAAGAGAAGAAGGUCGAUGGUGUUGGUUCUUCUUAAAUUUCUUCAGAAAAAUAUGAAGAACAUCGUAAAGAUUAGGGGGAUGAGUUUUCUAGAGAAAUUACAGGUAUGGGGUUUUCAUUUAUUUUUGCGUACCAUCUACUGUAUGUACUCAUGGGUUAUUGUUAUGAUUUAUGCAAUUUGAAUGCUGAUCUUUUUUUGUUGUGUUUUCCUUUUUGCUUUACAUUGAUAGUGGAUAUACAGUUAUUUCUGGAGAUGAUUCUUUGAAACUUUAGGAACAACAGUACUUCCAUUGUAAUAUGCUGUCGUCUGAGUUGGCAUCACCAUGAUCAAACAAUUCAUAUUCAUAGACUUUUGUUGCUUACUAGCAUUCUGCAUAUGCAAUAUCAUGGGUGAGAGAUACACUCCUUGUUUUUUGUCUCUAUUGAAUUAAAAACAUAUACAAAUGGAAUUAGCAGUCACUCAAAUCGAUUGAGCUGCCUUGCAAUAGGUUGUGAAGCCGAAACAGUCAGACUGACAAGGUACAAAUGUUGUUCUUUUAUUAAGUCCAAUUACUCCAAGGGUCUCAGAUACAAAAAUUUUGAUGCCUCCAAUAAUCUUCAUCUACACUUAUGUAUGAUCUUGAGCUGGUAGGAGAAUCGUGAUACAGGCAUACCCCUGCUUCUGAAUGUCUGUUUGCAUCAAAGUUGUUAGGAGAACAUUUAGGGGGUCAGAAGUAAGGUCAAUCAGUUUUGUGUCAAAGAAGUACUUUGCUGCAGUAGAUCAUACCUACAUAACUCAAGAGUGUGGAUCCAGUCUAGAUGAUAGGGACAAUCAGUUGUUGCUUAUAUCAGUUGGUGGAAAGCGGGUGUUAACUUCCUGGCUUCUUUAGUAUAGGUCUACAGACAAGGAAAAAACACUUGUCAAUGAGCUAAGCUACUAGUGGAAGUUUAAAAUAGAUCUAAACUGCAGUCAGAAAUACUCUCUUCAAUGUCCUUCCAGUGGCUGUCCACCAACAUGCCAUCAAGGUUUUUCAUCUUUUGACAAUUAUAUACUUGUGAUCCUUUUGUACAUAUCCAAGGUAUGUAUGUAAUCUAUGGACACAUGUUUGGUUAUAGUCGUACUUUAAUCUUCUCUAGAUUGAUUUUAUUUCCGCAUCAAAAAACAUGUCGUUUUCCCUGUAUUGCCUCUUAAGUCUCAACUCGUAUCAGCAUUAUUUUAUUUUUUGCAGAGUACGUACACCUGGUGCAUCUGUUGCAACAAACAUAUAUUUCAGCCGUGUUCAACUUGCAACUCUCUCGUGUGAUACAUUAAUUCACCCUUUCAAAAAAUAUAUAUGCCUCUCAAAGUAAAUAAAGUGGUUCUUCAGUCUUACACUUCAUUCAGAAGAAGGAAUCAGAAAUUCCUUAGUACAAGUUCCAAACUUUUUAGAUUUUUGUUCCAAUAGAAAAUACUAGUUCUCAUUCUAAGUUGGCGUAUAUACUGAUUUUGAUUGGUGGUUUUAGACUGCUGGCCGAGUGUCGGACAAGUCUUGAGGGUAUACUUUGGGGGACAAAAGAAUUAUUGUUGCAUGCAAAUAAAUUGUUGGUUCUUCUCUAGCUAUUGAUGGUCCCGUUCAAGGUAGAUAUACUCAUCUUCUAUGUAUUUCAAUGUUGUAAGUUUUUGGUAUUCCAGAUUUAUGUUCUCUAGGAUAUUCAAGUAGUCAUUAAAGUUUCCUUUUAUAAUUGAGGUAUGUAAGGAUACAAAUGCUACCUUUAAACCCAUAAGGCUACAACUUUCGGACUUGGAGAGAUCACAGAGAACUUUGAUUGUCUUAAUCCAUGGUUUCAGUGCUUUCAGAUUUCACUGGAGGUUCAUAUUUUUAUUUUUCAUUUCCUUAAAAUUGCUUAUGGAUGAGUAAAUAUAUGCAGACUAUUUGAACGUAGAAGAGCGCAUCUCUAUUUACAGAGCUUCAAUGAAUUUAUGGGAGCCAAUGCUAUCGCUGAUUCUUUCUGAUUUUGCUAUGAAAAAAUUGCAACUUCUAGAGUUUGUUCUGAAGUCAUAACUUAACAUCACCUUAUCUAUAAAUAGAUGGAUUAGUUUUUGGUUAGUGAUUGACUCAUUGUACCUACUUACUGUUUAAGGACUGAUUUUGGUUGUAUAAUCUUGUAAUGUAUAGUUCAGGUAUGCCAGUUACCAUGUGAGCAGACGCAGCAUACCAAAGUUUGCUAACAAUUACAAAGUGUAUGUUGUAGACUUAUCGGGAUUUGGUUGGAGUGACAUCAUGAAGUGGUAUAGAAAGGGUUGAAUGCAUUUUACUGAUUACGGCUACUUCCAUGGUAAGCUCAGGUGGCAGAUAAGGUGGUUGAUCUUUAUCUUUUUAUGCUAAAAUGCGAAGUGAAGAUUUCAUGUAUUCCCCUUUAUAUCCUCGAUUCAAGGUUAAAGACAAAAGGGAUGUAUGUCUUAUUAGUACUUCUUAAAGUUCAGGGGAAAAUGUUAAUCUUGUUUUCAGUGCAUAUUCACACCUGAAACUGUUCUAAUUCUAGUACCGUAUGUCAAGUCAUGUUUUUGUUUUGUUUCAUGUCGAAUUGACGAUUAUGUAAUUUGACAGCUUAAUAAUUUAUAUUUGAAUCUUCUGGAUGUA